UACAGAGGGGGCAAGCGUUAUUCGGAAUUACUGGGCGUAAAGGGCGCGUAGGCGGCCUGGCAAGUGGAAGGUGAAAUCCCUCGGCUUAACCGAGGAACUGCCUCCCAAACUGCUUGGCUUGAGACCAGGAGAGGUGAGUGGAAUUCCCAGUGUAGCGGUGAAAUGCGUAGAUAUUGGGAGGAACACCAGUGGCGAAGGCGGCUCACUGGACUGGUACUGACGCUGAGGCGCGAAAGCGUGGGUAGCAAACAGG
rnacentral:rRNA from 1 species